rnacentral:rRNA from 1 species
AGAGUUUGAUCCUGGCUCAGGAUGAACGCUGGCGGUAUGCUUAACACAUGCAAGUCGAACGGAGUUCCUUCGGGGACUUAGUGGCGGACGGGUGAGUAACACGUGAGAACCUACCCUUAGGAUGGGGACAACAGUUGGAAACGACUGCUAAUACCCGAUGUGCCGAAAGGUGAAAGAUUUAUCGCCUAAGGAAGGGCUCGCGGCUGAUUAGCUAGUUGGUAAGGUAAAGGCUUACCAAGGCGACGAUCAGUAGCUGGUCUGAGAGGAUGAGCAGCCACACUGGGACUGAGACACGGCCCAGACUCCUACGGGAGGCAGCAGUGGGGAAUUUUCCGCAAUGGGCGAAAGCCUGACGGAGCAAUACCGCGUGUGGGAGGAAGGCUCUUGGGUUGUAACCACUUUUCUCAGGGAAGAAUAGAUGACGGUACCUGAGGAAUAAGCAUCGGCUAACUCCGUGCCAGCAGCCGCGGUAAUACGGAGGAUGCAAGCGUUAUCCGGAAUCAUUGGGCGUAAAGCGUCCGCAGGUGGCCUAUCAAGUCUGCUGUCAAAGCGCAGAGCUCAACUCUGUAAAGGCAGUGGAAACUGAUAAGCUAGAGUACGGUAGGGGUAGCGGGAAUUCCCAGUGUAGCGGUGAAAUGCGUAGAUAUUGGGAAGGACAUCGGUGGCGAAGGCGCGCUACUGGGCCGAAACUGACACUGAGGGACGAAAGCUAGGGGAGCGAAAGGGAUUAGAUACCCCUGUAGUCCUAGCCGUAAACGAUGGAAACUAGGCGUGGCUUGUAUCGACCCGAGCCGUGCCGAAGCUAACGCGUUAAGUUUCCCGCCUGGGGAGUACGCACGCAAGUGUGAAACUCAAAGGAAUUGACGGGGGCCCGCACAAGCGGUGGAGUAUGUGGUUUAAUUCGAUGCAACGCGAAGAACCUUACCAAGGCUUGACAUGUCGCGAAUCCUGCUGAAAGGUGGGAGUGCCUUAGGGAGCGCGAACACAGGUGGUGCAUGGCUGUCGUCAGCUCGUGUCGUGAGAUGUUGGGUUAAGUCCCGCAACGAGCGCAACCCUCGUUUUUAGUUGCCAGCAUUAAGUUGGGCACUCUAGAGAGACUGCCGGUGACAAACCGGAGGAAGGUGGGGAUGACGUCAAGUCAGCAUGCCCCUUACGUCUUGGGCAACACACGUACUACAAUGGUCGGGACAAAGAGCAGCGACCUCGCGAGAGUAAGCGAAUCUCAUCAAACCCGGCCUCAGUUCAGAUUGCAGGCUGCAACUCGCCUGCAUGAAGGAGGAAUCGCUAGUAAUCGCAGGUCAGCAUACUGCGGUGAAUUCGUUCCCGGGCCUUGUACACACAGCCC